GAUCCGGUAGCGAAGUGGUCGAACGCGCGGGACUGCAAAUCCCGUUCCUUUCUUGGACUCGUCGGUUCGAAUCCGACCCGGAUCUCCA
rnacentral:tRNA from 1 species